rnacentral:tRNA from 1 species
UUAACUGAAGCCAAUACUUAGAGGCCUCUCAAUGUUAAUGAGAAAAUAGGUUUAUUUUACCCAGUUAAA